GGAGCGAGGACCGGGCCGGGACCGUGGGGCAGCCCCGACCGGUGCCCGCCUCUCCGCGGGCGAGCGGGGCCCGGGGCUCAUCCCGCUGUCCCGGUCCCGGUCCCGGUCCCGGUGGGCAGGAGAAGCCGCGCUCCGGUCCCGGCCCCGCUCUCCGGCCGGGGGCAGCCCAGGCUCGCCCCGGGGCCCAGAGAGGGGCCGCAGCACUGCCCGGAACUGCCCCGGGGCCUCGCCGCUGCGCCCGGACACGUUGGGGGAAUUCUGCUGCCAGCCCUGGCAUGGAAAACUCCAUCUCUGUGCCCGAGCCCGGAGCUGGUUCUCCUGAAUCAUCAAUAUUUCCCCUGGUUUUGAUUCUGGUAUUUUUAAAAGGAUUUCUCCAUCUUCAAAAACUAUUUGUGCAUUUAAUUUGGAUAAUGAAUAUCCUCCUACCAAGGGUAUCGGACAAUCUGGGAAUGCUGCAAGAAGCUUUAUGCAUCGAGGGCGAUUGGUCUCUCUGAGAAUUCCUGGGUGCCAGCCGGAGUUCGAUCAGCACUCGAUCCUGUCCAGUCUCACUCUCAAGGUCCCAUCUGGGUCGCCAAAACUGUUACCAGUCGCAAUCGCGAAGAAAACUCAUCUACACAAAGCAGAUAAGCAGGCACUUCUUUAUUCCAGCGCUGGGGAACACGGGGGAUAGCUCCACCAAAGACAUGUUUACCAACAGAACAGAGGGACGACCUUGCUCCAAUCCCCAGUGCUCGUCUCAGGAAGCUGGGAGGUAAGAUUUCGUACAACUUCUUAAAUGUCAAGCUUUCAUCUUGAAGAGGACCAGUCUGGGAAAGUAAAACAGCUGCCAGGCUGGACAUUGUGGACUUACAGUGUAGAAACUAUUGAGGACAGCAAAGAAUACAAGCGUGCACUACAAUAGAAGGCAAGGAGAAAACUGCAAAAGAGAAAGCUCUGACAAAUUUGUUCCCGUCAGACCAUCAGCUGUGUACCUGUGGCUCCCCAAGCCUGCUAGGAAGCCCCCUUCUUAACCCUCUGCCCAAGAGGUCUGUCUGUAUGCGUCAGUUUGUCCAAUCUCAGCCUUCUGGAAACUGCUAGUGGCCGGCAGCAUCUCUGCCACAUAUAUACAGGUUAGUACCUUUCAAACACAUGGACGGAUUCUGGGAAGAUUGCUUGCUUUUUUUUGUAUUCAGAAAAAUAGCCGCUGGGGCACUGCUGAAUUGGAAUUUUCUGAAAUGUAUUUAUGCAAAAUGUAAAAUGUUUAGGGUUGAUCGAAACUAGUGCACUCUGGGCAGUUCAGCACAUCAUGUAAGAAAUUCAGCUGUUGACUACUGAAUUUGCACUAUUUCUCACCUCUAUGAAGUAUAUAGCAGGGGGUUGGGGAAUAACAACCCAAACCCAUUAAAUAGUUAUAUUUAGGGUAAUAACAAUUAUGCCAAUUUCCCCAUGGACAGUGUUCUGGCUCUUUCUCAAACAGGCCAGCUCAAAUAGCAGUGUUAUUUAGUUGGCCAUUUUUGCCUUUAAGAACUCAAAAAUAAAUGUGUGUCUCCUCCUAAA